GCAGACACAUUCCAGCCAAUCAGCAGCAGACCCUCCCUCCCAGAUCCUCCCACCUCCUGGACAGCUCACUAAGAAUGCAGCUUCACAAUGAAUGUAAAAUGGAUGCUGUCCAGGAGGUGGGAGGGUCUGGGAGGGAGGGUCUGCUGCUGAUUGGCUGGAAUGUGUCUG